AUGGAGCAUUCGUCGGACCGCCAGAACAUCGGCGGUGCUGCAAGGGAGCAUCACUGGUGCUAUGAUGGAGCACCGUCGGGUCACCAGGAUAUCGCUGGUACCGUGACGGAGCAUUCCUCGGACCACCGGAACAUCGACGUCACUGCAAGGGAGCAUCAGCGGUGCUACGAUGGAGCAUCGUCGGGCCGUCGGAGCAUCACCGGCGCUGCGAUGAAGCAUAGCCGGGUGGCUGGUGCAUCGACGGUGCAGAAUGGAGCAUCAAUGGUGGUUGAGAAGUUGUUCACAGUAGGAGCAUUGCUGCAGCCCCAGAGCUCAUUGGCGCUGCUGCCAUGGCCGAGGUAUGGCAUGCUCGCCGGCUGCUGGUUGGUGACUGGCGACGUGGCUGCUGCCACAUGCUCUAAGCCGGCUAGCUGCUGCUUUAGCUAG
rnacentral:rRNA from 1 species